rnacentral:rRNA from 1 species
UGAGGAAUAUUGCGCAAUGGGGGAAACCCUGACGCAGCGAUGCCGCGUGGGUGAUGAAGGCCUUCGGGUCGUAAAGCCCUGUCGGGAGGAAAGAAAUGCACGCAAAUAAAUAAUUUGCGUGUUUGACGGUACCUCCAAAGGAAGCACCGGCUAACUCUGUGCCAGCAGCCGCGGUAAUACAGAGGGUGCAAGCGUUGUUCGGAAUUACUGGGCGUAAAGGGCGUGCAGGCGGUUUGUCAAGUCAGAUGUGAAAGCCCACAGCUUAACUGUGGAAGCGCAUUUGAAACUGAUAGGCUUGAGUACCAGAGGGGAAAGUGGAAUUCCCGGUGUAGAGGUGAAAUUCGUAGAUAUCGGGAGGAAUACCGGUGGCGAAGGCGACUUUCUGGCUGGAUACUGACGCUGAGACGCGAAAGCGCGGGGAGCAAACAGG